CAAAAACACAAAAAACCCAAAAACACAAAAACAAAAACAUGUCUCUGAUCACAGAAGAGGCCAAAGCAAAAGCAGAGUUCUACCAAGGAAACGACCUAUGCCAAGAGAAAUCAAAGCUCUUGCUCAAAGAACUGGGUUUGCCCAACGGUCUCCUCCCAUUGGAGGACAUGGAAGAGUGUGGCUAUGACAGAGAAACCGGUUUUGUGUGGCUUAAACAGAAGAGGAAGACCGAGCACAAGUUCGAGAAGAUUGGCAAACUCGUGUCGUAUGCGACCGAGGUCACUGCCUAUGUCGAGCCCAAUAAGAUCAAGAAGCUGACCGGUGUCAAGACAAAGGAGCUCUUGCUUUGGAUCACUCUCAGUGAUAUAUAUGUCGAUGAUCCGCCGACCGGGAAGAUCACUUUUCAGAUUCCGGCUGGGCUGUCCAGGACUUAUCCCGUGUCGGCUUUCGAGGUGGAAGAGGGGCCGGCGAAGGCGGAGG
rnacentral:misc_RNA from 1 species